AGACGCACACACAGUCGUCGGCUGCUGCCCAUCCCUUUCCUCUUCAUGCCAUUCCAGAGCAGGCAAUUUGCUAAAUAUCUCAUUUUUAUUUGCUGCCCCCCUCUCUCCAUAUUCUAAUCGCUUCAUCUCUCUCUUUCUCCUUGGUCAUGGUAAAAGGAAUGGAGCUUCUUGGUAGAAAUUCAUAGAGAGUUGCGUGCAUCUUCCAUUCAAACAUGACUAUGUGUAAGUGGAUAUUCGAAAAUGGGAGGGUGAAGACUAUGGUAUAAUCUCAAACUUCGUAGUAGAGUGUUGCAUCGAGACAUGGCUGACCUAAAUGGGGAGACGACCGUUGCAAAUGCAUCUCCGGAAUGCAAGAAAAACAAAGAUUGUGGUGCUCGUGAUUAUGAGGGUGGUUCCAACAAUGUGGGGGCCUUGAAGAGGCUGUUUUCACCGUCAAGAUUGUCGGGUGGACAAGGCUUUGAAUCAGGGGAUAGUGAGAGCCGACAGGGAUCGACACUGGCCUCUGAGAAUAGCUCAAAAUGCCACGAGGCUGAUAUGCAAUCGUCGUCUGUUGGUGUUGGUUCUACGCAGGUGAAGAGUGAGAUUAGCACGGAGACACUUUUGACCCCUGGGAGUGGGAGUCUUGAAAUGGAUAUGACGAAGAAGAAGCACAGGGAUCAUGUGGUUGGUGGUGAAGACGGGUUAAGUACGAAUACGGUUGAGUCUUCAUGUUCGAACUCUUUACCUGUUGUGGUUCCGGUUUCCUUUUCCUACCAAAGCUAUCAGGAGACAUCGAAGGAUGCUUACUUGUUUAGGAACUGUGGGAGCUCAAUGGAUAGUUCGAACUCUAAGGCCUUUGAUCGCAGCCCCGAAGAGCCAGUGACUGCCAGUUCUGAGUCGGGAAUAUCUGCUCAAAUCGCGAGCAAAGCUAGAAGUAGUACGAAGAUUUUUUCGUUGGGUGGGAAUCAUUCUUCAUCGAUGAUUAAUAAACGAGAGAGCGAGACUUGUCAUAGCUGGGAUCUUGAGGCAGAAGUUCCGAAAGAGAGCGAUGAUGUGAAAUGCGGCUCUAGAGAAACAACGGCGAAGCAUGGAAUGUCAGGGGAAGGCGAGAGCGUAGUGGCAACGAAAGGGAAGACGGGCUCUGAGGUGAUGGACAAGUACAAUGAUGAGAUUCGGGUGAACGAAUCUGCAGAUUCCUCAAUAGCAAAACAGGGUAAGAAACCCGUGAAAGGUAAGGAUGACAAAGCUAUUGCUGGAUUUGAUCUCAACAUAGACUUGAACGCGAGUGAGCUAAACAACUGUGAUCAGCCGGCUUUGCCUUUUGUGUCGCCUCACAGUGUAAUACACGUCGUAGCAAAACCCGGAAUACCAAGUGGUAGACGGCCUAUGAUGCCAUUGAAAUUCGAAGGGGGCCUAGGCUGGAAGGGUACUGCCCAAACGAGUGCUUUUCGUUCCACAAAUAACAAGCCAAAAGACCUCCAGGGUUUCACCGGAAUCGACCUCAAUGUUGCCAUUGAAGAUGAUAAUAUUUCUGCUUAUGGGACUCCAACGGUUCGUGCUUCGACUUUGCAAGACUCUCAUCCAGAAGCUGACAGGAAGCAAGCCAAGAGCCCCUGGAUCGAUCUCAACUGCGUCGACAAUGCAGCUGAAGAGUUUCCUCAGCCUUCAAUCCAACCUAUAUUGGAAAGCUCUCCGUUGGUAGACUUGAACUUGGACACGGGGAGGUCCAACAACGGCCAUUGGCUCGGCCAAGCUAGCCACUUCCCAAAUCCAGGAUCGCGUGAUUUCAGUUUCAACAGGAACGUUUAUUUGGCUGAUUUGAAUACCAUACAGCAUAUGGCCAACAACGGCCAUACACUAAUGGCUUCACCGCAGUUUCUCCAGCGUAUGGAGCUCGUUCCACAACAUACCCUACCAUCCAUCGUCAACCAGUCCAGAUAUUUCCACGAACAUGGCUCAUUGUACAACACCCCUCAUCCGGGCCAAUUUGUUCACGAGCAGAUCAGUAGUAGCAAGAACGCAGCCAAACUCGAGCCUAAGACAGAAGACCUCUUGUCAGCAAGCGGGAGCAAGAGCGACAGGCCCCGGUAUUUCCCCUUUCUUUCUAAAGAAUCCCCGAUGGAUGAAAGUUCACUGAAUCAAGAAGCCUGGCACCCGGCCUCCUUGAAACGGAAGGAGCCCGAGGGAGGGCUCGACUGCUUCCACCUCGGCUACAAACAGCUAAUCUGAUUCGUUCUUACACGACUAAUCAAGUAUGCAUGGGGAUUCAGCCAUCAAGAACCUUGUUCAGCUAUGUUUAGAAAUCUGUCAAACAAAUGGAGUGCACGGUUGAAACUGCAAUAUUUCUUCUUCUUAGACAUUUCUUCAAACAGAUGGGGCGCGUUGUUUAAACUCCAUUAAACGUGUCGCACCUGCAAAUAUUCAUUGAUUUCGACCAUUCAAAGCAAGAGCAACAACGAAAUUUUAAGCCUAUGUUUUUAUCGAGUGUUUCAGGUAAUUAUUGAAAUGAUAUACUCUUUUAACAUUUGCUUAAUUUUUUUUAAAAGUGUAUUAAUACUUUUAUUUUGUAUUAAGAUUUCUUAAAAUAUUUUUAUUUAUCAAGCUAAAUUUGAGAAUUUCGAAUUUAGUAAACUUUAUUCAACUUUA